CCAGGGUCCUCACCAGAACAAGAUGGCGGCCGAGUUUUGAAAAAGUGCUGGUUCCUUUGGGUUUUCAUCGCGUCUUUUUAGGAUCCUAAAAAGGCAUCAGUAUGGUGGCGUCCUGAUUGUUGCUGAUGCUGAUUUCCUGUCUUUAACACCAUGGAAGCUGCCGCUAAGAAGUCUGUGGAGGCUACCAGGUCAACCGAGUCUUCUGGUGCUGCUGCCUCAGCAGAUGGGACGUCUGCACAGGAUGGGACCGCCAGACUCAGUCUCAAGUCCACAUCUGAUAAGU